UACAGAGGUCUCAAGCGUUGUUCGGAUUCAUUGGGCGUAAAGGGUGCGUAGGCGGCGCGGUAAGUCGGAUGUGAAAUCUCGGAGCUUAACUCCGAAACUGCAUUCGAUACUGCCGUGCUUGAGGACUGGAGAGGAGACUGGAAUUUACGGUGUAGCGGUGAAAUGCGUAGAUAUCGUAAGGAAGACCAGUGGCGAAGGCGGGUCUCGUGGACGAGUUCCUGACGUGAGGCACGAAGGCCCAGGGGAGCAAACGGG
rnacentral:rRNA from 1 species